UGGUGGAGUGAUUUGUCUGGUUAAUUCCGUUAACGAACGAGACCUCGGCCUGCUAAAUAGUUUGGCGGAUUCUUCGGGAUACGUACAUAACUUCUUAGAGGGACUAUCGGUGUGUAGCCGAUGGAAGUUCGAGGCAAUAACA
rnacentral:rRNA from 1 species